AGAGAAAACUAACGUUUCUACCAUACACAGUACAUGCUCUUAGCAAAAAUACCACUUUUCUCAUUUCUCUUCUUCUAUACCACUUUCUGUAAAUGGAAAAGUCCAUUUUGCCCUCCACACAAACAAAAGUGAUUUUUUUUUUAUUAAUUCAUUUUCUUCUUUUCUUCUUUCGUUGCUAUCUUCUUCCUCCAUCUUCUCUUUCACACUCUUCAAUAUAUGUCCAACUCAAAUCUAGAAUAACGGAAAAGAAGAUAAGAGAUGUGGUUCCGUUGACUACGAUGUCACCGGCGGAGCUCCUUAACGUCGCCGCCGUGAUAUGGUUUAAUUGACUACGAUAUCACCGUCAAAUUUCGUCAACGCCGUUGUCGCUAUUAGUGGAAAAGAUGAAUUCUAGGAAUAGGAUCGUCGACAGAAGGGCUGGAAUUUUUAGUUUAAAUGGACAAAAUUAAGAUAAGAUGACUUAGGUAGUAUGUGACUAGUCAAAAUUGUAUGUUUUUUUUGUCCAUUAUAUUUUUUGGUCCACGCAUCAUAUAUGUUAUGGUCCUUGUUGAUUAUAUUUCUGUUUUGUUACAUAAUCUUGUCCAUUUUCUUAAUUUGUAAUGAUGACAUAGUUUUGUUAAUAAAUGUUGUCCACAACU